UGUAUAAUUAUAUUACAGGAGUUGCACGGCUGUUUUCAGUUAAUGUUGUGAAAUUGUGGUUUCCAUGAAAUUAACGAAAUCCCUUACUUUAUUUUUUAGAUGUACGAUAAAGUAAUUGAUCCUAUAGAUGUGGUGAAAAAAAAGGGACAAAGACAAGUCAUCAUGGCCUUAAUGCCGCGGGCUACAGACGUGCCACAUUUGCCUAUACAAAGAGAUGCGAAAAUGUGAAUUUUAGCUAAUCUUAAAAACAGGAUAAACUAUAACAAGGAUUGUAGUCUGAAAUUCGACUAUAUGAAUAAG
rnacentral:ncRNA from 1 species